GCAGGGGAGAGAACAAGGAUACAAGAGGAAGAGGACACAGAGGAGGAAGAGGAGGACACAGAAGCAAAGAGGAAGACACAGCAGUCACUUAUCAAGCCUCAGAAACACAGGGUCUGGAAUCGCAACUUCAUAAUACAGGGCGACAGCAGGACCCUGUCAGGCAAGUCGCAGUGCAGCUGACGGCGGCGACAGGUACAGGGAGACAGGUGGUGCCUGGACACAGUAACCCAAGAGGAGAUAUGCAAAUCUUGGCCAGCAAGGGUCGAGCGAAAUGCGAUGGUGCUGGCGGUGGUGGUGGCGGCGGCGGCGGCGGCAGUGGCGGUGGUGGUGGUGGAGCAGCGGAGUUGUCAGCGGUAUUGCAGGUAAGAUCAGUUCGUCAAUCGGAGGGUGAUAAGGGCGACGCUAAGGUUCAGCGACACACCUGCGCAGGUAUUCCUAAUUGGCGCCUCAUUCAGGUGUGUCUCGUGCCGCCCGCCACAGCAGAGUCCACACCUGUGACGCGGAGACAAGACUGCACACUGAAAGGAAGUUUUGAGAAUCUUUUUUCAAACGCCUCCAUUUUCUUUUUUUUUCGACAAAUUUUUUGAUGGAUACGCAACUGAUGUUUUCAUUCGGCGUUCAAAUGUUACUCUAAAGUUUAAGCUUCACUUUGAGUCCGGUGUAGUUUUUUUUCUUUAAAUUUUUGUGUCCUGUAAUGUGGUAAGCCGCGCCAAAAGUAAUUUGUCAAGCGAAGAAGAAAAAACAUGUA